GCGGCGCGCUGAGCGAGCAGGCGGGGCGGGAGCGCCCACAGCUUGGAGCCACCAGGCGCUGACUAGGAGCCCGGCUGAGGGAGGAUGCGCCGCUGACGCCUGUGGGAGCCGCGCGCCCGGGCGGGAGGAUGCUCCAGAGGGGCCUCUGGCCGUGGCGCGCGCGGCUGCUGCCGAUCCCUGGCACCUGGCGCCUAGCGCGCCCGUGGCCGCUGCCGCCUCCGCCCCAGGUUUUAUGUGUGAAGCUGUGUGGAAAUGUGAAAUACUACCAGUCACACCAUUAUAGUACCGUGGUGCCACCUGAUGAAAUAACAGUUAGUUAUAGACAUGGCCUUCCCUUGGUAACACUUACCUUGCCAUCUAGAAAAGAACGUUGUCAAUUUGUAGUCAAACCAAUGUUGUCAACAGUUGGUUCAUUCCUUCAGGACCUACAAAAUGAAGAUAAGGGUAUCAAAACUGCAGCCAUCUUCACAGCAGAUGGCAACACGAUUUCAGCUUCUACCUUGAUGGAUAUUUUGCUAAUGAAUGAUUUUAAACUUGUCAUUAAUAAAAUAGCAUAUGAUGUACAGUGUCCAAAGAGAGAAAAACCAAGUAAUGAGCACACUGCUGAGAUGGAACAUACGAAAUCCUUGGUUCAUAGACUAUUUACAGUCUUGCAUUUAGAAGAGUCUCAGAAAAAGAGAGAGCACCAUUUACUGGAGGAAAUUGACCACCUGAAGGAACAGCUGCAGCCCCUUGAACAGGUUAGGAAGCAUCACGGUUGAGUAUAUUUGAAAAUAAUACCUAGUGUUUAUUGAGUGCUCCUCAUGUGAGCAUUUUUCUGAAUGCUUUCCAUAUGCUAAUUUUCUCCUUUACUCCUCACAAAAAACCUGUAAGUUCAGUACUUUUAUCUUCCUCAUUUUUCAGAUGAGGAAACUGAGCAACAGAGCUAUAUCGCUAAUACAUGGUAGAGCCUGGACUUGAGCUCACGUGGCCUGUGUUCAGAGCUGCCAUCUUAAACUCUAUGCCAUGCUUCCUCUCCAGAGAUCAGUCAUAAUGUCUCUGUAAAUAAGUAUAAUAUGAGCAGGGCACUAGCUGGAGUCCUACCUCCCUUUCCUUUUUAGAGAAUAGGCCCAGAGCCCCUGCUGUGCCUAACAGAAUUGCAGCUGGAAAGUUGGUAAUGGCUAGCAUCUAAAGUUAAUCAAUGGUGUGG
rnacentral:sRNA from 1 species